GAACGCAGAUUGCGCCCUUUGGUAUUCCGAAGGGCAUGCCUGUUUGAGUGUCUUAUAAACCUCACCUCUAUAGUUUUCUAUAGUUGUGCUUUGGGUGUUGCCGUUUACUCUGGCUCGCCUUAAAUGUCUAAGUGGAAUGCGUAAUAAGUUCUCGCAACCCUCCACUCUAACACACUUUAUAUUCUGACCUCAAAUCAGGUAGGACUACCCGCUGAACUUAAG
rnacentral:misc_RNA from 1 species